CACGGUAACGGAAGCCGGCUCGCCUCAACCAAUGGGGCCCGCCCGCCGCGCGCUGGCGCGAGUCAAACCACCUGCCGCCGCGCGCGCGCCUGGGAGCCGCUCGUUGACCUGACCGAGGCCUGUAUUGGCGUAACGCGGGGUGAUAUUUGCAUGUAUUACGUAGCUCAUUUGCAUACAGGCUGGGACCCCCGGCUCGCCCCAGUGCCGCCAGCAGGGGCCGCUCCCAGGCAGCGGGGUCUCCGCAGCCCUGCUUAGGGGCUUGUGCAAAUCCCCCUUGGGAGGCCCUGGCCCCGUGCCUGCGCCUGGCCCCUGAGCCGGGCUUCCUACGAGGCAAGGGCCCGGGAGAAGGGCUGGGAGCGCGCGGAACACGUGGGUUGACGGGACCCACCUUCGCUUUUCUGGGGGAGAUUUUUGUUGGGUGCAAGAGAGAAAGCGGCACACUCACCCCAUCCAAAUUAACACAACGAAGUCGUUGGCGAAGAGAUCAAACUACUGGAGAAAUUUAACUUCUAAAGUGCAUUCCACGGCUGUCUAAAUGGGAGCUUUGAAUGUGGUUUCUACACACUCCAUGUCACAGUAUUUUAAAUAGCUGAUCAAAAGAACCUAUAAUAACCCAGUGAACUCGACCAGCAUGUGUACCUUGCUGGCGGAGUAAUUGCAGCUUAAACUCAACAGGGAAGAAAAUGGGACCAGUCAUAAGACUAACCCAGCGUUUGAAGUGAAAUUGAGAAUGUCUUGGCCCUCUUCAUCAAUUCAGAAGUGCUACACUCUCCUACAGCGUUCCAGCGCGGACACUACAAAAGGAACAAAUUCUAUCAAGCGGAGCACAAAGAAUAAAGGAAACAAAAGCUUAUGUUUUUUCAUCUCUAUUUAUCUUUCACAUUCUUGCACUUUUCUGAUCUGAAGAAGUCUAAUUUUGCAUUAUUAAUGGUAAAAAUAAACUUAAUAAAACAAAAAAAACCCCAAA